rnacentral:tRNA from 1 species
AAGGUUUUAGCUUAAUUAAAGUAUCUGGGUUGCAUUCAGAAGAUGUGAGAUAAAAUCUUGCAAAUCUUA